CAUACAUUCUAAUGUUAUUGGUUUAUAACCUUAUUAAUGUUAAUUGUUCUUUAACCUUACACACUAUACACUUUUCUAAAGCAAAACAAGAACAUAAAUAAUUCAGUUUUGUAUUCUUUAGAAAUUAGAAGCCUUUUGGCUUUUAUCAGUGUGCUCUGUUUAUUGGCCAAGCUAUUUCUCACAGUACAUAUUGCCUGGGCUUAUCAGAUUAUCUAAGGUCAGGCAGAAAAUUUCAGUGAGUAUGCAGUGAAUCAGGGCUCAGUAGCCAAUUAGAUCAGUGGAUUUCAAAUGUUCAAGCGGGUUUUCUGGUUUUCUUGAUGUAAACACGGCAGCCAUGGUGAUUUAACCUUCUGAAGAUUCUUAUUGUUUUGCUGGAUAUAAUCAGGAUCUCUCAUGGUUUGAAGAUGGCUUUAAUAUUCAAUGACGAGGGAGAAAACAAGAUCUGAAAGUAACAGUUGGAGCAUAUAAAGCAGACCUUACCCUCAAAAAAGAUUGUGUGACGUCAUAGUUGCUGGUCAGAAUACAUUUGGAUCUAGACUGGAAAAAAAGGCAUCAUCAAUCCAGCAAGUUGAGUCUGUGUUAAAAAAGUGAAAAUAACAAUUGACAUAAAACUCACAGACGAUUCCAAAACACUAUAACUUUUAUUUUCAAAUAAGUCUUUGUUAGGAAUUAGUGUCUCUUUAUUUCAUGAUAAAUUUAUAUUGCAGAUUAUAUCAUUAUAAUCAGUGUAUUGAUUUUAAAAUCAGAAAAAAAUAAACUCAUGGAAAUGUAAAUAAAGUAUAUAAUAUAAUAAAUAAUAUGAAAGAAAAUUA